rnacentral:rRNA from 1 species
GAUUGGUAAUGGACGCAGUCUGAACCAGCCAUGCCGCGUGAAGGAUGAAGGCCUUCUGGGUUGUCAACUUCUUUUACCUGGGAAGAAACCCCGAUUUUCUAAUCGGGUUGACGGUACCAGAGGAAUAAGCACCGGCUAACUCCGUGCCAGCAGCCGCGGUAAUACGGAGGGUGCAAGCGUUAUCCGGAUUUACUGGGUUUAAAGGGUGUGUAGGCGGGUCUUUAAGUCAGUGGUGAAAUCUCCGAGCUCAACUUGGAAACUGCCAUUGAUACUAUUGAUCUUGAAUUUUGUUGAGGUAGGCGGAAUAAGUCAUGUAGCGGUGAAAUGCAUAGAUAUGACUUAGAACACCAAUUGCGAAGGCAGCUUGCUAAACAAAUAUUGACGCUGAGGCACGAAAGCGUGGGGAUCAAACAGGAUUAGAUACCCUGGUAGUCCACGCCCUAAACGAUGAUUACUCGACAUACGCGAUACACUGUGUGUGUCUGAGCGAAAGCAUUAAGUAAUCCACCUGGGAAGUACGACCGCAAGGUUGAAACUCAAAAGAAUUGACGGA